rnacentral:rRNA from 1 species
GAGGUCUCGAGCGUUGUUCGGAUUCAUUGGGCGUAAAGGGUGCGUAGGUGGCGCUGUAAGUCGGGUGUGAAAUCCUGAGGCUUAACCUCGGAACUGCAUUCGAUACUGCGGUGCUUGAGGACUGGAGAGGAGACUGGAAUUCAUGGUGUAGCAGUGAAAUGCGUAGAGAUCAUGAGGAAGACCAGUGGCGAAGGCGGGUCUCUGGACAGUUCCUGACACUGAGGCACGAAGGCCAGGGGAGCAAACGGG